UAUAAUGAAUAUAUAUACGUAAUAUAUAAUAUUUAAUAAAUUUAAUAAUUAAAUACUUAGUUUUUUGUGAAAGGUGAUAUUUCGUAAGGUUUUCAACUAUAUAGUUUAAAACAACAAACUAACAAAGACUAACACUUAUGCUGAAGGCACACGAAAAUAUGCAUUUAGAGAUGAAUAUUUUAAAUGCAUUACAACAACUAGAAAGCGUCAAAAUAGCUGUAGAUACGAGCGAUGAUCCAAAGUUAAAGGAUGCAACAAAUGAUGAUUUAAAUAUGCUUAUUAAUUUGCUUGAGAAUCCAAUAUUAAGAAGCAUAGUAACACUACAGGAUUCUGUGGCCAUGCUCACUACUCAGGUUGUGCAUCAUCCUUCUAUUAUUCCAGAUGACUUUUUUUUGAAUACAUGAAGGAGAUGAAGAACAAAGAGUUCCACAGGUUUCGCCACCGCAAAGCCUUGAAUUUAAGUUCAAGUUCCAAAAUACCGGUAUUUUUUGUUGACUUAGCUUUAUCUUACGCUGAGAUCACUGUUGCGUUGUAAGUUUUAUUAUGGGUUAGUUAGUAUUAUUUGACGAUUGAGAAGGAUCGCUCGCAUGAUAAUGUCAAAUUUUAUUUUUGGUAAAUUUCAGGAUGAUUUUUGACUUUCGUCACAUCAAUCUAGUAAAUGUGUAGUUUUGGUAUGUCUUUUGUGUUUAUCUGCAUUAUUAAUUCACGUUUUAACUGUUUCUUUUAAAAACAUUUAUCUUAUUUUUUCUGUCUGCCAUAGUUCUUAUCACUAAAUCUCUUUUGCUAACUAGAAGUGAUUGCGAAAUUAAUCCCAGAAUAGAUGAUUGUAAAAACUAACGAAUUCAUAUAUAUUCUGAACUUUUAAUUAGAAUAAAUUGUUUAAAUACAACAGAAACAAGUAUAAAGUAGAAUGGUAAAGAUCACAUAUUGAGAAAACUAAAUCUAGAUUGUUUCUAUUGAAAAUGUUUGAUUAUAAAAUGCGACGGAACCAAACAGAUUGGUGAGACCAAUGAUGAAACAUUCGUUGGAUUGGUCGGACUGAAAUUCUUGUGUGUUUGUGUGUUAUUCCAACAGCUGUAAUAUAAUUAUUUCACUAUGGCUAUCACUAAUAUAGGUUCAACCUUUUUAUUUCUACAAGAUGUUACGAGUGGUGGACAGUUUUUUCCCAGUUCUUCUCGUCUUUGCCCUUGAUUUGAGAAAUUGAUAGUAAAUUUUAAUCUAUUAUUAAUUAUUGUGUGUUAGAAUUCAGACCGUUGACCAAUCACAAUGAAACUGAAUGCGCCGUUGAUUCGUCUUACGUUUUACGUUCUCACCACUAUUUGGAAGUCGUAUCGUAGUCUUUAGAAAUCUGAUGAUAUUUAUAAAAUUAUUAUAAGUGUUGCAUUGCAAAUGAAGUGUGUAGUUUUAAGGUGUAGCAUUGCGAAUUUUAUAACUUAUAUUAUAAGCUGGCUAUUGCAAAUUUUACAAUUCAUAUAAUUUACAUUAUAAGGCUAUUGCGAAUUUUACAAUUCAUAUAAUUUACAUUAUAAGGCUAUUGCGAAUUUUACAAUUUAUAUAAUUUACAAUUUAAGGCUAUUGCGAAUUUUACAAUUUAUAUAAUUUACAUUAUAAGGCUAUUGCGAAUUUUACAAUUCAUAUAAUUUACAUUAUAAGGCUAUUGCGAAUUUUACAAUUCAUAUAAUUUACAUUAUAAGGCUAUUGCGAAUUUUACAAUUCAUAUAAUUUACAUUAUAAGGCUAUUGCGAAUUUUACAAUUCAUAUAAUUUACAUUAUAAGGCUAUUGCGAAUUUUACAAUUCAUAUAAUUUACAU